rnacentral:rRNA from 1 species
AUUGAACGCUGGCGGCAUGCCUUACACAUGCAAGUCGAACGGUAACAGGUUAAGCUGACGAGUGGCGAACGGGUGAGUAAUGUAUCGGAACGUGCCCAGUCGUGGGGGAUAACUACUCGAAAGAGUGGCUAAUACCGCAUACGACCUGAGGGUGAAAGCGGGGGACCGUAAGGCCUCGCGCGAUUGGAGCGGCCGAUAUCAGAUUAGCUAGUUGGUGGGGUAAAAGCCCACCAAGGCGACGAUCUGUAGCUGGUCGGAGAGGACGACCAGCCACACUGGGACUGAGACACGGCCCAGACUCCUACGGGAGGCAGCAGUGGGGAAUUUUGGACAAUGGACGCAAGUCUGAUCCAGCCAUGCCGCGUGCGGGAAGAAGGCCUUCGGGUUGUAAACCGCUUUUGUCAGGGAAGAAACGAGUUUCUCUAAUACAGAGACUUAAUGACGGUACCUGAAGAAUAAGCACCGGCUAACUACAUGCCAGCAGCCGCCGUAAGAC